GACGUAGGGCGCGAGCGUUGUCCGGAUUUAUUGGGCGUAAAGAGCUCGUAGGCGGCUUGUCGCGUCGACUGUGAAAUCCCGCGGCUCAACCGCGGGUCUGCAGUCGAUACGGGCAGGCUAGAGUUCGGUAGGGGAGACUGGAAUUCCUGGUGUAGCGGUGAAAUGCGCAGAUAUCAGGAGGAACACCGAUGGCGAAGGCAGGUCUCUGGGCCGAUACUGACGCUGAGGAGCGAACGCGUGGGGAGCGAACAGG
rnacentral:rRNA from 1 species